rnacentral:lncRNA from 1 species
CAUAGUGUAGUAAGAAACAUCACAACCAAGUGGGAUUUAUUUUAGGGAUGCAAAGUUGGUUUACCAUUUGAAAAUCAACCAAGGUAGACUGGGUAUGGUGGCUCAUGCUUGUAGUCCCAGCAUUCUGGGGGGCUGUGGGACAGGACCAAGAGGGGAAUAAAUUCACUGCAAAAGGCACAAGGGACCCUUGAGUUAUGAUCUAUUUUUUAUAGGAACAACAUUCAAGUUAUUUCACAUAAAACAGCACUUUAAUAGUGUUUUACUUUUAUGAAAAUAGAUAACUCAUUUCAAAAUAGAGCCUUAAUCAUCCUUAAGAAGUACUAACUUGAUUAAAGAUUAAAAAGCUCUUAAAGAUAUCUGAUAUCCAUACAGUUUUCCUCUCUGUCACAGGCGUAAAUAGUUACGCUAUUAUGGAUCACACCCACGGAAUAUUGCUCAAUGCAGUUUAAAAAACUGAUGCAUUCAAAAUUUAGAGGCUGCAUCAGCAGCAUUCAGGUCUGCCGCUCUCUCAACAGUGUUCUUUCCCACUUGUUACACCACCUGAUUGGAGAGUGGCUUGCAGAAAGAACAUCUCACCAAUAUCCUGUUCUCACUGUGAUCUUUCAGAGAUGAAUGUUCAGCUUACUGUUUUAUUAGAGUAUUACAGAAUCUGUGAUUUCUUUGAUUUAUGAUCUCCUUUCUCCAUUAUUCUUAAAUCUAGCUUUGCUAAAAAAAAGUGGUUUAAGCCAGUAUGAUAUAUGAAAAUAUGAUUUCAUAAAAAUAUAAUUAGUCACAAUACGAAAGUUAUAUUUAUAUGACAAAACAGUUGGCCAGAGUGUGCUUUUAAAUAAUGAGCUCUCCUUUUGCUUUAAACAAUUAGAUGCUCAAAAAUGUGAUAGAAAGCCACUGUUUUUAAAGUCACCUACUGAUAAAAUUGUGAUACACAUAUUUGGCUCAGACAAAAGUGAAGGUAAAUCUUUAAGUUUGUUUUAAUUUAGUUCUCAUUUUAAAUAUAAAAUUUAGUUGACUACAACUUAAACACCCAUUUGUAUACUCAUCUGUAAUUAUUACACCAUUGUAAUUUGAAAUAGAAUAUUUUUUAAAGUUGAAGCUAAUAAUAAAAAACCUGAAAGGUUUAGUAAAUCUUUAAACAGCUCAAUAUUAUGAACUCAUAGAGUUUUAUAAAAGGCUAUUUAAGUGGUGCUUCGUAAAAGCCAUUCAUUUGAUCAGAUGAACACAGAAAGAUUAGAAACCUUGAGAAUAAAACAGAAUUUAAAAUUCAAAUGAACAUAGAGAAAGAUUAGAAACCUUGAGAAUAAAAAAUAAUUUAAAAAAUACGUGAUUAAGAAUCUGUAAGAAACCAAUAGGGCAAGAAAUGGAAAAGUGUCAAUUUCUAAAAAGAAAAAUAAUAACUUAUAUUACUUUUCCCCUUCAAACCAUACUUAAUACAUAGUUAUAGUAUCUUAAUAUAAACAGUUCUAGAAUUUAAGCUUUCAUCCCUUUUUAUCAAAAGGCAUCCCUAAACUAUUAUUUUUUGUACAAACUGACAGAAUGAAUCUGUCUGUGGAGAUAAAGAUAAGACAUACACACACAUUGUUCGAUUUAUAGAUGCACUAAAUAGUAGCCAGGAUAUGAAAUGCUUCAGCAGCCAUUACAAUACACAAACAUAAAUAUGCACAUGUAUUUACAAUACAGAUUAAGGCAAGAUAAAAAAAAUGUAGUAUUCAGCACUUCACCUAUAGUACUGCUCGCAUUUUUAUACAUGAGAACACCCGGAUCAAGAGAAGAA